GACGAACGCUGGCGGCGUGCUUAACACAUGCAAGUCGAACGGAGUGGCGACCGGGUGAGUAACACGUGGGUGACCUGCCAUGCACUUCGGGAUAAGCCUGGGAAACUGGGUAUAAUACCGGAUAGUGGUGGAUGGGCCCGCGGCCUAUCCGCUUGUUGGUGGGGUAAUGGCCUACCAAGGUGACGACGGGUCGCCGGCCUGAGAGGGCGACCGGCCACAUUGGUACUGCGAGACGGCCCAAACUCCUACGGAAGGCAGCAGUGGGGAAUAUUGCACAAUGGGGGAAACCCUGAUGCAGCAACGCCGCGUGCGGGAUGACGGCCUUCGGGUUGUAAACCGCUUUCAGCCAGGACGCGGUAGUGGCAGAAGAAGCACCGGCUAACUACGUGCCAGCAGCCGCGGUAAUUC
rnacentral:rRNA from 1 species